rnacentral:rRNA from 1 species
UACGUAGGGUGCAAGCGUUGUCCGGAAUUAUUGGGCGUAAAGGGCUCGUAGGUGGCCAACUAAGUCAUACGUGAAAUCCCUCGGCUUAACCGGGGAACUGCGUGUGAUACUGGAUGGCUUGAGUUCGGGAGAGGGAUGCGGAAUUCCAGGUGUAGCGGUGAAAUGCGUAGAUAUCUGGAGGAACACCGGUGGCGAAGGCGGCAUCCUGGACCGACACUGACACUGAGGAGCGAAAGCCAGGGGAGCAAACGGG